CGACGCCUGAGUGUCUCUCUGCUGCCCCAACAGCCGCUCCCUCAGGUCCAUACAUUGCUGCAGACACACAGGAAACAACCAAUCAGCUUCAUCCACAGAAACAUGUUUUACUGUUCAACCGCCAACGACAGCAGCUCAACUCGCAGUACGUCACCGCUGCUGGCUGCAAGAAAACCAACGUGGCGGCGAGCGUAGCGCCAAACCGGAGGAUUGAAACCGGGACUCCGCCCGCCGAUCCAGCAGGGUCAGACUCACUUUGAGCGAAUCGUUGAGCUUCUUGUCUUCUUCCUCCAGAUGAGUGCACUCGUUCUUCAGAUCGUUGUUUCGUCUCAGCAGCCGUCGCUUCUCCUCCUGCCUCACUGCACACACACACACACACACACACACACACAGUUCGUCAGCACACGUAUGAACAGGCUAACAGGCUAACACACACUUGUGAAGAAGUGAACCAGUUCUCACCCGUCUUGUGUGUAACGUAGGACUGAACAAAGUUCUGUGGCCACGACAUGUUCUCCUUGUUCAGGACCUGAGGACCAGAUACAACAGUUAUUUAUUUAUUUAUUUACAACAAUCAGACGUUACAGUUUCAGUUAUUUUCAUCAUUAACUCGAUGGUUUGGGUUCUGUUGGGACUUGAGCACAGACUGUAAGUGUAGCUGACUCUCAGCUGUGUCUCAUUUAAGGAUGAAGCUCUCCUGAACUACCGGUGUUGUGGUUCAGAGAGCGACCGUGUUAUCUGGUGUCUCUAGAAACACUUUAUAAGAACGUUACGAGAGGCGUUCCCUGGAGUUUCGUACCUUCUUCUGGCACUUGGGGCAGUACCAGGGUCCUCUGGGGGGGGUUUUGAGCGGCGGGUGGAGGCAGUUGGGGUGGAAGGCUCUGGGGCAGUUGUGGCAGGGCUGCAGCUCGCCGUCCUCCUUACAGACGGCACAGUGGUCGUCAUGCUCCAAGUCCUCCUGCUCGGACACAACCAGAGUCAGUACAGCCGUACUCAACGGGUCACACACACACACACACACUCUCACACACACACUCUACAGGUCUAACACACACAAACUUUACAUUUUAUAUUUGAUGGUGCACCGUAAACAGCUCGCUGACUUAUAAACAUACAGUGAGUUUCUCUAAUUAAAAUAGUUUUUAGUGUUAAUUUGAUGUCUUUGUCUUUUUAAUGUUAUUACACUGUAAAACCAAAGCAAUGAACUCUGCUAUGAUACAAAUAAUUAGACUUAAAUUUGCUGUUAUUAUUAGAUUUGUCUUAGUUUAAUGUGAAUGUUAAAAGUAAUUAUCUGUGAAAUUACAGUAAUUAUAAAUAAAAACUGUAUUUGGACAGUUUACCAAUGCUUAUACACUGAUAAACAUUUAUUCAACGUUUCUGUGGUGAAAAACAAAUCCAUGUAAAGUUACACAACAAAUACUUUUACUGUUGUCACAAAUGUUAUAACUUUAGAAAUGUAUUAACAGUUUAAUCUAUUAAAUAAACAGUAAAUAUAGAUUUGCAAAAUGUAUUUUAACUUUAUGUGCAAAAACAGGACCAAAAAAAAAAAACGGAGGCGUGACGUCGUCGGUCAUGUGACCUACCUUCCAGCAGAAAUCCUCAGUGUCUAGCGUGUAAAUGGAAGCAGAGCAGAGGUUAGUGGCAGCACAGACACACAGGUGAGAGCUGGAGCAGCGUGUGGUUAGCUUAGCUUAGCAUAAAGACUGGAAGCAGGUGGAAACUGUUAGCCUCUAACAACAAUUAGAAGUGUCUGUAUACUGACUGUUCAACGUUAGAGAGUGUGUGUGUGUGUGUGUGUGUGUGUGUGUGUGUGUGUGUGUGUGUGUGUGUGUGUGUGUGUGUGUGUGUGUGUGUGUGUGUGUGUGUGUGUGUGUGUACCUCGUGCUGACAGGAAGAGCGAACUGUUCAGGUAGUGUGAGGCCAGACGUUUACGCUGUGAACAAACAGGAAGUUGGAGUCAGAUUACAAACAGCUGAUUAAAGUUUUAAUGUAACAAUAAUGAAUCAAUAAUCAAUAAUCAAUAAUCAAUGGCUCUGACCUCUGGUUCAAACAGGCCGCUGUAGGCCGGAUUAGCUGUGCUUCGUCUCUUCCUCUCCUGACGCUUCGACUGGAUUUCUGCCCGGAAACAAACAAACAAACAAACAAACAAACAAACAAACAAACAAACGUUUAAUAUAAAAGAUCUUCAGGAAGCUCUGAUUACAUCACUUCCUUCAAGGAGCAGCGUGGACUCACCUUCCAGGUGCUCCGUGGUGACGAGGCCGAGGGCGACCAUGAAGGCGAUUUUCUGUCAGAGAGAGAGAGGACGUUAACGAGGAGGAAGAGGACGUUAACGAGGAGGAAGAGGACGUUAACGAGGAGGAAGAGGACGUUAACGUCUACCUGAGGGGCUAAAAUAUAAUUAAUCAUCAAUAAUCAUUUUAAUAAAUUUCCAGGUUUUCCAGGAUGUGGGAAACUUGUGAGCAGUUAAUCAAUUUCUCUGAUUUCAGCUCCUCAAAUGUUUUCUGCUUACUUUAGUCCUAAAGUAAAUUUCCAGGUUUUCCAGGACGAGUUUUCGGGAUUUGUAGAAAGAUUCAAAACAUUUCCAGAUGAUCAGUUAUUGAUCUGCAGGAGCUGCUGUUGGACUAUUGAUCACAAUAAUCGAUCAGAAACUGUUCGUACAAAAUAAAACUGGAUUCACUUUCUCA